GCAUAACGCGAAGAACCUUACCAAGGUUUGACAUCCCCUUGACAGAAGCAGAGAUGUUUCUCCCUUCGGGGGCAAGGGAGACAGGUGGUGCAUGGUUGUCGUCAGCCCGUGUCGUGAGAUGUUGGGUUAAGUCCCGCAACGAGCGCAACCCUUAUCCUUAGUUGCCAGCACAUAAUGGUGGGCACUCUAAGGAGACUGCCGAUGAUAAAUCGGAGGAAGGUGGGGAUGACGUCAAAUCAUCAUGCCCCUUAUAUCUUGGGCUACACACGUGCUACAAUGGUCGGUACAACGGGGAGCGAAGGAGUGAUCCGGAGCAAAUCCCAAUAAACCGAUCCCAGUUCGGAUUGUAGGCUGCAACUCGCCUACAUGAAGUCGGAGUUGCUAGUAAUCGCGAAUCAGAACGUCGCGGUGAAUGCGUUCCCGGGUCUUGUACACACCG
rnacentral:rRNA from 1 species